GAUCAUGGCUCAGGACGAACGCUGGCGGCGUGCUUAACACAUGCAAGUCGAACGAGAGGACAAGAGAAGCUUGCUUCUUUUGAAAUCGAGUGGCAAACGGGUGAGUAACACGUAAACAACCUGCCUUCAGGAUGGGGACAACAGACGGAAACGACUGCUAAUACCGAAUACGCUUGGGAGACCGCAUGAUCUUCCAGGGAAAGGGUGGCCUCUACCUGUAAGCUAUCGCCUGAAGAGGGGUUUGCG
rnacentral:rRNA from 1 species